rnacentral:rRNA from 1 species
UAGGGGAGAAAUUCCAAUCGAACCCGGAGAUAGCUGGUUCUCCUCGAAAUAGCUUUAGGGCUAGCCUCAUGCAAGUCUUACGGAGGUAGAGCACUGAAUUCCUAAGGGGGCGUCAAAGCUUACCAAGGGAUAUCAAACUCCGAAUGCCGUGUAGAUGGUGCAUGGGAGUCAGACUAUCCGAGAUAAGUUGGGUAGUCAAAAGGGAAAGAGCCCAGACCUACAGCUAAGGUCCCAAAAUGUGUGUUAAGUGGAAAAGGAUGUGGGAUUUCGAAGACAACUAGGAUGUUGGCUCAGAAGCAGCCAUACAUUCAAAGAGUGCGUAAUAGCUCACUAGUCGAGAGGUCCUGCGCCGAAAAUGUCCGGGGCUGAAACACACUACCGAAGCCGUGGAAUCAUCGCAAGAUGAUUGGUAGAGGAGCAUUCUUAAAGAGAAGAAGCUGUACCGGAAGGAGCAGUGGAUUUUUAAGAAGAGAGAAUGCCGGAAUGAGUAGCGAGAGGAAGGUGAGAAUCCUUCCGGCCGAAUAUCUAAGGUUUCCAGAGUAAAGCUGAUCUGCUCUGGGUAAGUCGGGGCCUAAGGCGAGGUCGAAAGACGUAGUCGAUGGAUAACAGGUAAAGAUUCCUGUACUAUAUCAUAACAGAACUGUGGGGACGCAGACAGAGAGCAUAAGCCGGGAAUGGAAAGACCGGUACAAGCGAGGUAGGAGUGCAUCAGGCAAAUCCGGUGCACAAUCUGAAGACGUGAUGUGGGGCGUAAAGCCGGAAGUAUGUGAGCUGGCUGCCAAGAAAAGCCGCUAUUGUUUAUGAUAUACCCGUACCGUAAACCGACACAGGUGGAUGAGGAGAGAAUCCUAAGGCCGACGGGAGAAGCAUUGUUAAGGAACUCGGCAAAAUGACUCCGUAACUUCGGGAGAAGGAGUGCCAGUGAGAGCUGGCCGCAGAGAAUUGGCCCAAGCAACUGUUUAGCAAAAACACAGGUCUAUGCAAAACCGAAAGGUGAGGUAUAUGGGCUGACGCCUGCCCGGUGCUGGAAGGUUAAGGGGAGAGGUUAGCCGUAAGGCGAAGCUUUGAACUUAAGCCCCAGUAAACGGCGGCCGUAACUAUAACGGUCCUAAGGUAGCGAAAUUCCUUGUCGGGUAAGUUCCGACCCGCACGAAAGGCGUAAUGAUUUGGGCACUGUCUCAACAAUGCACCCGGUGAAAUUGAAAUACCAGUGAAGAUGCUGGUUACCUGCGCCAGGACGGAAAGACCCCAUGGAGCUUUACUCCAGCUUGAUACUGGGAUUCGGUAUUGCAUGUACAGGAUAGGUGGGAGGCUAGGAAAUGGUAACGCCAGUUGCCAUGGAGCCGCUGUUGGGAUACCACCCUUGCAGUAUUGGAUUUCUAACCAGCAGCCGUGAACCGGCUGGGGGACAAUGUCAGGUGGGGAGUUUGACUGGGGCGGUCGCCUCCGAAAGGGUAUCGGAGGCGCUCAAAGGUUCCCUCAGAAUGGUUGGAAACCAUUCGAAGAGUGCAAAGGCAGAAGGGAGCUUGACUGCGACACCGACGGGUGGAGCAGGUACGAAAGUAGGACUUAGUGAUCCGGUGGUAUAAAGUGGGAUUGCCAUCGCUCAACGGAUAAAAGCUACCCUGGGGAUAACAGGCUUAUCACUCCCAAGAGUUCACAUCGACGGAGUGGUUUGGCACCUCGAUGUCGGCUCAUCGCAUCCUGGGGCUGAAGUAGGUCCCAAGGGUUGGGCUGUUCGCCCAUUAAAGCGGUACGCGAGCUGGGUUCAGAACGUCGUGAGACAGUUCGGUCCCUAU